CGCGACUCCGGGAGCCCGCCCGUGCGCAAUUGCGCAUGGAGAGGGCCGGGGGCGCAUGUCCGGGCAGCAACGGCCUGGCCCAACUUUACGCACGGGGCAGUGGAGCGGAGGGGUGUCUGGACUCCGGAUCCUGCGGUCUUCGGUUCUGCACCGACCUGAGAGUAAACCUCGCUGCAUAGCGUGCCAGUUAGUUUGUGGGGAGCGCGCCCGUGGGCCUAGGUCGGAACUCCCGUCAUCGCACACUGUGGGACUUGCUUGUGAGUAGACCCGCUACCGCCCGGAUCGAGCUGCAGGGCUGCCGUACAGAAAUGAAGGCAUUUCUCCAGAUGGAGAGGCCCCUAAAAUGCACAUGCGCAGACCAAACUCCUUUUUCUCCUGCUCCGCUAGCAACCCUUCCCGCCAUCUCCAGGAAAUGCUGUUGCGGGUCCCUCCUGAUAUAUUGCAACUCAAUUCCUUCCUCAUUUCGCACUUCAGGAUGCAGUUCUUCCUCAAAGAAGCUUCACCUGCACUCAAUUCAUUCAAACUUGGGUCCCCAGAUGUUGUUGGACUACAACACGCAUCACCCCCUGCCACAAUUCAGCCACUCUAGCUAGGGAUCAUGGGAGUCGUAGUCCAACAAUAUCUGGGUUUCAAGUUUGAGAACUCUUGUGAGCAGUGUAGACAAAAACAAAUCUGCCAAUCUUGCACUUUUGCUUUGUAAACCCGCCCCUUUAAUAUAGCACCACCCCCUCCUUCUGUGGCCAUGACAAUUAUUUAAAGAGACACAACUAUGAAGCAAUCUCUGAUAUAAAGAUGGAUUUGACUGCUUUUAAAUAAAUGAUAUAAUCAUG